rnacentral:rRNA from 1 species
UACGGGGGGGGUAAGCGUUGUUCGGAGUUACUGGGCGUAAAGGGUGUGUAGGCGGUUUUCUAAGUUUGGUGUGAAAUCUCCCGGCUUAACCGGGAGGGUGCGCCGAAAACUGGGAGACUAGAGUGCGGGAUGGGAGAGUAGAAUUCCUGGUGUAGCGGUGAAAUGCGUAGAUAUCAGGAGGAAUACCGGUGGUGCAGACGGCUCUCUGGACCGCAACUGACGCUGAGACACGAAAGCGUGGGUAGCAAACAGG